rnacentral:rRNA from 1 species
AUGACUCGCUCCAAACUGCAUGGUGGUAUGGGCUUUCGUGAUAUCCCUACAUUCAAUCUGGUGAUGCUUGGGAAACAAGGAUGGCGUUUAAUGAUGAAGCCACAAUCAUUAUUUGCUAGGGUAUUAAAAGGAAAAUAUUACCCGCAUUGCGAUUUUAUGCAAGCUAAGAAAGGGAAACAUUCAUCGCAUACUUGGCGAGCGAUUAUUAGUGGGCGAACUGUCCUAAACAUGGGUCUCAUCAAAAGGGUGGGAACGGGCACAGACAUCAAUAUUUGGUAA